UUGAUUAGCUACUAGUCUAUUUACUCUCUGGAUAAAACAGCGGCUUUGGAGUCCAUUAAUUUGGUGAAAAUAUCGUUUCAGGCGUCUAUCAAUUGAUUGACGAUCUGAUUGUUGCUCUUCAACAU